rnacentral:siRNA from 1 species
UACCUCAUUGAUCCAGUG